rnacentral:rRNA from 1 species
AGCAGUCGCCGCGGGAAAACGAAGGGGGCUAGCGUUGCUCGGAAUGACUGGGCGUAAAGGGCGCGUAGGCGGCAUAUACAGUCAGAUGUGAAAUUCCUGGGCUCAACCUGGGGACUGCAUUUGAUACGUAUAAGCUUGAGUGGAGAAGAGGGUCGUGGAAUUUCCAGUGUAGAGGUGAAAUUCGUAGAUAUUGGAAAGAACACCGGUGGCGAAGGCGGCGACCUGGUCUUUAACUGACGCUGAGGCGCGAAAGCGUGGGGAGCAAACAGGAUUAGAUACCCGCGUAGUCCCUGUCUCUUAUAC